UACAGAGGUCUCAAGCGUUGUUCGGAUUCAUUGGGCGUAAAGGGUGCGUAGGUGGCGCGCUAAGUCAGGUGUGAAAUUUCGGAGCUUAACUCCGAAACUGCAUUUGAUACUGGCGUGCUUGAGGACUGGAGAGGAGACUGGAAUUCACGGUGUAGCAGUGAAAUGCGUAGAGAUGCGGAGGAACACCGAUGGCGAAGGCAGCCCCCUGGGCUAGCACUGACGCUCAGGCACGAAAGCGUGGGGAGCAAACAGG
rnacentral:rRNA from 1 species